UUUGGUUUUCUGGGAGCUCUCUUGCAGAGCCAGUGGAACUGUUGUGACUUCGGAGCUCGGAUCCUGCUAAUGUCAAUUAUUAUUCUUCCAUUUUGAAAAUAGGCCAUGCAGAUAUGAUUUAAUGCUUGCAUUUCUCUCAGGAUGCAUGUUCAAACUUAGGAGAAUGAGUGAGCCAGGAAAUAACUUGGGGUUUUAAUUCUUAAUUAAGGAAAACAGUUUGAUUUAAGACAAACCGCCAUGAUCCCUCAAGGGAAGUCCACAGAAGAAGGUCUGUCAACCAAGAGGAUUAAACUGUUAACAGCCUAACUACCAGGCUGAUUUAAGAAUAUGAUUUUACAUACAAUUUAGCCUUUUACCUCAUGACCAAAUAAUUUUGAGGAUACAGCUCUCAGCAUGUAAACAUCAACUCUGCUGCAUUGUUAGCCUAACCUUGCAGAAGCUGUCUGCAGCCAAAAGAUGCUAUCAGCGAAGGUGUGAAUGUGGCACUUCAAAUGAGAGGAGCUGGUACUUCUCAUGAUCUGUUUGUUUGCAAGAUUUUGCAGUGCUAAAGCAAAUCGUGCUAGUUCUUAGUUUACAAAUUGAGGAGACCUUCAUCUGCCUGGAUCCAUGGUGAAAUUCUCAUUUUAGCUCCUAAGUGGAGCCAAAUCAGACAAGCACAGCUCAGUUAAAUAUGAAUGCAACUAAACGCAGAAACUACUGUGAGAUACUUCUUAUUUUAUGACUUAUCCCUUUUAAAUCUCUGUGUAAUCUGAGAGAAUUCUGAGAACUGCUAGAGGACCUGGGAGGAACAGAUGAACACGUUUAUGGAUGGCAUUUUCAACUGGAAUUACUGAGUAUGAAUUAAUUAAUUCUAGCAAAUAAAUUUUAAUUAAAAAAAAAAUAAAUCCAGAGACAAGUUUGAUUGCUACCAUUGACUUUGGAAAACUCUGACUGGGAAUCUUUGCUGAAGUUCUUCAUUGGCCUGACAAUUAAAACAAUUCACUGGCAGAAGAUAGAGCCUUGCUGAGGCAGGAAAUAUCAGCUACAGGAAGAGUGUGAUGCAAAUUAAAGGGAUGAUCUAUCAUGACUUUGUUCUUACAAAACCUGAGGGUUUUUUCCUGAGAGUCACCAAUAUUUCUGUCUGCCCAUACACACCUGAGCCAACCAACUCUUCAGACAGCACAAAGUCAUUUUAAGUAGCCUGAGCUCCCUCUAGUCUUAGAAUGUUCUGCCACUUGUUAAAAAACACAGCUGGUCACGGAACAGUGUUCAAGAAGUUGGUCUGGAGGAAAUAAUGCCAUUUCUUUUAGGCAAUUAUAGUCUUUCAGAAGCUUUGAAGGUUGGAGCCCAAGCUUUGAAUUGCAGUUACAGUAACAGCUCCUGCUGAUCCUGUGCUGAACCACACUGUACAGAGAGAUACGUGCUCUUCUUAGGGGGCAGAGCACCAUAACACCGAAUAAAAAUGUGGCCACAGUCCCUGUCCAGACUUCUGUGGUUGUCAACUUUUCCAGGAAAGGGCAGCAGCCAAGAUGAAAGGAUGCUGAAUGAUCCAGCUCCUGGACCAUAACAUUUUAGAUUAAGAAUCAUCCAAUCUGUAGAUUUCAAUUUGGAAUACAGUAAGAAGCUAAAUUUUAGUUUGACUUCUGCAAUUUUCUUCAUUAGCAAAAUUUUAUAUGCCCUGAUCCAUUCUUCAACUUCUCCAAUGCUCCCAAAAACAUCAUCUCAAUCUUCUGGUUUGUUCUUGCCCAGCAGCACUGUGGGUUUCUGAGAUGUCCUUGCAGGAUGGAAUUUCUGUUUUUCUUUCUCCUGCAACAGAAAUUCCCCCAUCCCCCUCUUUUCAUCCCCUUACUGUGGCAUUUGUUGCUCCCUGGUGUACUGGAAGAAAUGCCCUUAGGAACUUGCAAAGUAUUUUUCUUUUUUCAUGAGUCUUUCAGAUCUUUCCUCUUUCUCUUGACCUAGUAGCUCCUCAGCUUCCCCUCACCUGCUUUCUCUUUUAUAGAAUCUUUG